UGAGUGAAGAACCAAAGGAGAAAAGUGCAAAACCUGCUCAUAGGAAAAGGAAAGGAAAAAAGAAGACAUAGAGACCUUGGGGAAAUCAUCAUUUGAUUGAAUCAUUGUGCCUACCUGCCAAGAAAUUGUUCAUCAUGUGAAGGUUCAUGUUAACACAGAAGAAACAUCCAAACACAGAAGUUGAACCACAAUCAUCUGAAUAGUAAUGCAAAAGAUUUUAUUAACAAGAAACGAAUAUGAAUGUUGUAUUUCCUCGGUUCUAGCAACAACAUGUCUUACACAUUUUAAUGUCUCUGCAUUUGGGGUGCAUCUUACAGUCCAUGAUGUCUUAUCCUUGCUGUUGUCCACACAGCAGCUCUGAUGUAAUUGUCAUUGCCUGCGGGGUGCAAACUUGGUUGUUAUUCUGGAUGACAUGGCAGCAGUGUCUCAGAUUUUCAGUCAACAAAUUAUUUUAGAUUCCUUUGGGGGAGGAAUUUGCAGAAAGGGUGACUGGGUUGGGAGAAAAUCUUGGAGCGAUUUGAGAAAUGCUGCAUCAACUACCACCUUGAUGGCGCAGAGAUUGAUCUUGGCAUGUGAAAACGCAUUGAAGACUUAACUUCAAAGCAUUGGCAAAACAGACUUGUAAGACUGUGAAUGUGCCAAAGUUUUAAGAAUACCUUAACUAGUUUAUUUCACUUGUAUCUUCCUGUUUUGG